CUUUUAUUUGAAUUGCGGACUUUAUCUGAAUAUUCACAUCUUAUUUUAAUAUUAUUUAUUUUAAAGUUAUGAUUCUUCAUUUAGGCAGUUGGUACUCAUCAGAAACGAUUUGAAAGUAGAUAAUAACAGGACAGUUUGAAACUGUUCAUGAAGAGACUGUUAUCUGGUGCAUGAUUUAUGAAAAUGCUUUCUUUAUUUCCCCAGCCUAGUAUUAGAUUCUUGCUUAAGAGAAAACAGCUUGGUUCCAAUUACCAAUAUGAAGCUGACUUUGGGAUCUGUAAUUUAUGAGCUGCCAUGGAAACAAGUCACAUGUCUCCCUUCACCACAGGAGAUCCAGAGAUUUCAUUUGAAGCCUAUAGAAUUUACCUCAAAUUGGUUUCAAAGACAACUGCUAAGAUUGAAAAAAAAUAUAAUCACCAGCCCUCAGUGAAAACAUCCUAAGUCCCCAGAACUAACAUCAAAGAAGCACCAUUCUAUAGUUUUCCUGCCAUCUAGAGUGUGUUGAGAAGGUGCCAGGAUGAACUGUUGACAGGCUUUGUCGGGUUUAGGUUGUUGCCUUGUAGAGCAUGAUGCCAAAGAGUGACUGACUGCCUAGAAUCCCGGCAGAGCAGGACGGUAAAAUAAGCCUAACCAAAAACUGAGUAUAAAAAGAGAGGAAAAGGUGUGACUUCAAGAGAAAAUGCUGCCAUGGAGACAGAUCAAACUUUUGAAAAGGAAAAGAAGCACUACAAAGGGAGAAAAAGAAAAAUGAACAGAUUGCUGGGAGAAUUAUUCUAGAACUGAACAUAUCUGAAGUGUCAGGCAACACCUCUCUAAAAAUGCACUUGGAAUGCAGCCAUCACAUUUCAACACUAGACUGUUUUCAAGUGUUAUGAAAGACAUGUGAGAUUUGGUGUCAAUUCUACCCUUGGAAUUCAGAAAGAAAUCAGGUUAAGGAAAAGAUGCUAAGAAAUUAGAAUCGUUUUUUUUUUUUUUUUUUAAAGCAGGGAAUGAAGACAUAACUUAAAGCAUCAUUGUUCCCAAACUAAGUUGAAAUCAAAGCCCU
rnacentral:lncRNA from 1 species